rfam:Desulfobacterales bacterium PC51MH44 PC51MH44_contig000425, whole genome shotgun sequence.
UAUCCGGUGACGGUACUUCGGGAGGAAGUGGCCCUGCUGAGGCGGGGUACCGCAAACGCACGGGGUGACGAACAGAAAUCGGGUUAGGCGCGUUGUAUGUCGGGACCAGUCUGCAACACAAGAUUAAGUCCUCUACCUGACGUGGCAUGACGCGUGCACCCGGCGCUUACGUGCGGAAAGAUGUGUGU